GAUGAAGAACGUAGCAAAAUGCGAUAAGUAAUGUGAAUUGCAGAAUUCAGUGAAUCAUCUAAUCUUUGAACGCACAUUGCGCCCGCUGGUAUUCCGGCGGGCAUGCCUGUUCGAGCGUCAUUUCAACCCUCAAGCCCCCGGGUUUGGUGUUGGGGAUCGGCUCUGCCCUUCUGGGCGGUGCCGCCCCCGAAAUACAUUGGCGGUCUCGCUGCAGCCUCCAUUGCGUAGUAGCUAACACCUCGCAACUGGAACGCGGCGCGGCCAUGCCGUAAAACCCCAACUUCUGAAUGUUGACCUCGGAUCAGGUAGGAAUACCCGCUGAACUUAAGCAUAUCAAUAAGCGGAGGA
rnacentral:misc_RNA from 1 species